UGGGGAAUAUUGGACAAUGGGGAAACCCUGAUCCAGCAAUGCCGCGUGAGUGAAGAAGGCCUUAGGGUUGUAAAGCUCUUUCGCCCGCGAAGAUAAUGACGGUAGCGGGAGAAGAAGCCCCGGCUAACUCCGUGCCAGCAGCCGCGGUAAUACGGAGGGGGCUAGCGUUGUUCGGAAUUACUGGGCGUAAAGCGUACGUAGGCGGAUGCGCAAGUUGGGGGUGAAAUCCCGGGGCUUAACCUCGGAAUUGCCCUCAAAACUGCACGUCUUGAGACCGAGAGAGGUAAGGGGAAUUCCUAGUGGAGAGGUGGAAUUCGUAGAUAUUAGGAAGAACACCAGUGGCGAAGGCGCCUUACUGGCUCGGUACUGACGCUGAGGUACGAAAGCGUGGG
rnacentral:rRNA from 1 species